UUAUUAGAUAAAAAGCCAGUUCAUGCUUUUAUAGUAUGAAAAUUGGUGAUUUAUAAUAACUUAGCAAAUCGCAAAGUGAAAACAGGCGAUAAAUCAUUCAAGUUUCUGACCUAUCAGCUUUCGACGGUAUGGUAUUGGCUUACCGUGGCAGUGACGGUUAACGGGGGAUUAGGGUUCGAUUCCGGAGAGGGAGCCUGAGAAACGGCUACCACAUCUAAGGAAGGCAGCAGGCGCGCAAAUUACCCAAUUCUAACAGUUUGAGAGAGGUAGUAACAAGAAAUAACAAUACAAGGCAGUUAAAAUGCUUUGUAAUUGGAAUGAUAGAAAUUUAAACCCUUUUUAAAGUAUCAAUUGGAGGGCAAGUCUGGUGCCAGCAGCCGCGGUAAUUCCAGCUCCAAUAGCGUAUAUUAAAAUUGUUGCAGUUAAAAAGCUCGUAGUUGAAGUUCUGCUGAAAGUAACCGGUCUGCUUUUAAUAAAAGUGGUAUCUUGGUAUGUAUUUAGCAAUGAUGUCCUUUGAAGUGUUUUUUACUUUAUUGUAAUAAAGCAUAUUCAGGACUUUUACUUUGAGAAAAUUAGAGUGUUUCUAGCAGGCUAACGCUUUGAAUACUGCAGCAUGGAAU
rnacentral:rRNA from 1 species